rnacentral:tRNA from 1 species
GCCUUCGUGAUGUAGUGGUCAGCACACUCGACGCGUAUUCGAGAGAUCCGUGGUUCGAGUCCUGGCGAGGGCA